rnacentral:rRNA from 1 species
UACGUAGGGUGCAAGCGUUGUCCGGAAUUAUUGGGCGUAAAGAGCUCGUAGGCGGUCUGUCGCGUCGGCUGUGAAAUCCCGAGGCUCAACCUCGGGUCUGCAGUCGAUACGGGCAAACUUGAGUGUUGCAGGGGAGACUGGAAUUCCUGGUGUAGCGGUGAAAUGCGCGAUAUCAGGAGGAACACCGGUGGCGAAGGCGGGUCUCUGGGCAACAACUGACGCUGAGGAGCGAAAGCGUGGGGGAGCGAACAGG